GACGAACGCUGGCGGCGUGCUUAACACAUGCAAGUCGAACGGAGUGGCGAACGGGUGAGUAACACGUGGGUGAUCUGCCUUGCACUUCGGGAUAAGCUUGGGAAACUGGGUCUAAUACCGGAUAGUGCAAGAUGAGCUCGCGGCUUAUCAGCUUGUUGGUGGGGUAAUGGCCUACCCAGGCGUCGCCGGGUAGCCGGCCUGAGAGGGUGUACGGCCACAUGAGGGCUGAGAUAGGGCCCAGACGCCAACGGGGGGCAGCAGGGGUGAAUAUGGCACAAUGGGCGGAAGCCUGAUGAAGCGACGCUGGGUGGGGGAUGAAGGCUUUCGGGUUGUAAACUCCUUGCGACAGGGACGCGGUACCUGUAUAAGAAGCACCGGCUAACUACGUGCCAGCAGCCGCGGUAAUAC
rnacentral:rRNA from 1 species